UAUUGAAAAUAGUGCUAAAUUCGUACAAUUUUUUCACGAAAAUUCGUUGCUGGCUGCAAUAUUUAUUGCAAAUAUGCGAUAAAAAUCUACAGUUUAGCUAAAUAUAGCGCGUAGUAAUACUCAUCACCUGGUCGGGCAGGCCUGUGCAGUGAAAUUCGGUCGAAACACUAACGAAAAUGCAACGAAAAACGUAGACGAAAAAAAUGAAAUCUAGUCAAGAAAACCAUGUAAAUGGAUGGGGAAGAGACGAGGCUACAACAACAACCACUGCAAGACCAAAACGAAAAACGCAAAAACAGUGACACGCAGAACGCAGGCAGCAAAUACAACAACAAAAUAUAUUAAAUAUAGUAUUAAGGGAGAUCAAAUCAAACAGAAAUAGAGAACAACAAAAGCGAGCAUUCAAAUCAAGUGUGACCCUCUCUCUCGCACUCGCUCCCCUCUCUGUCUCCCUUGAAUGUGUGAGUGAGUGGGUCGGUUGCAGCCCACACACAAUUACACCCACACGCAGUACCGUAGCAUAGUUGCUGUUUUUGUUGUUUGUGGGGUUGAAAAGCUAUUGCCUGCAUAACGGUUAACGCGUGACGUGAGAUCCCACACAAAAACAGUAAGGGUGUCCACCUCCCACCUAUCUCUUAACCCCCUUCGACGAGGCUCAGACCUCGGAAGGCCCCCCCGCUCUCAAAAUGAUGGACAACGACGAUGCGCUACUCAACAACGGAGGUCCGCAGUCGGGAGCGGAGACCGUCUACGGCACGGAGGACAACAAUAUGGUCAUGUCGGAGAAGAAUGAUCAGGUUGUCAGCAUCGUCCAGCAACUGGCGGGGAGCAUUUAUCAGGAGUUUGAGCGGAUGAUCAAUCGCUACGAUGAGGACGUGGUGAAGAACCUGAUGCCGCUGCUGGUGAACGUGCUGGAGUGCCUGGACGCCUCUUAUCGCAUCAAUCAGGAGCAGGAUGUCGAAGUGGAGCUGCUGCGCGAGGACAACGAGCAGCUGGUGACGCAGUAUGAACGGGAGAAGAGCGCCCGCAAACAGUCCGAACAGAAGCUACUGGAGGCUGAGGACCUGGCCGAGCAGGAGAACAAGGAGUUGGCCACCCGACUCGAGUCCGUGGAGAGCAUUGUGCGGAUGCUGGAGUUGAAGCACAAGAACAGCCUGGAUCAUGCCAGUCGCCUUGAGGAGCGGGAGACGGAUCUCAAGAAGGAGUACAACAAACUGCACGAAAGGUACACGGAGCUAUUCAAGAACCACGUGGACUACAUGGAACGCACCAAGAUGCUGAUGGGCUCCACGCACUCACAAAUGAGCACCGCCUCUGACCGGAUGGAAGUGAGCCGUGCGCGCCUUAAUCCCGUGGCCCGCAGCUCUGGUCCCGUCUCCUAUGGCUUCGCUUCGCUGGAGAAUUCCGUCAUGCUGGACACCGAGACCAUCUGCAGCGUGGGCAGCCAGUCGGACGACUCGGGUCCGCCGUCACUGCAGAAUGAGCUGGACAUGAGCCUGCCCAGCACUGCGGAGCGGGGCGCCGGCACCGAUUCGCUGCAGCAGCAGCAUCAGGCCACCUCGCCCCAGAGCCCCCCCGACAUCAGUCCCGUUGUGCCAAAUGUGCCUCCUGCAAAUGUUGGUCGCUCGACCACCAAAAAGGAGCAGCGCUCGGACAAUAAUCUCUACCAAGAACUGUCCUUCCAGGACAAUGAGGAGAGCGAAGAGAAUGAGAUUGUAACAGGCUGCUGGGUACAUCCCGGAGAGUACGCAUCCUCAGCAAACGACAACUAUUUCGGCAUGGGCAAGGAAGUGGAAAAUCUAAUCAUGGAGAACAAUGAGUUGCUGGCAACCAAGAAUGCCUUGAACAUUGUCAAGGAUGAUCUGAUCGUCAAAGUGGAUGAGCUGACGGGCGAAGUGGAAAUUGUGCGGGAGGAGCUGAGUGCCAUGCAGCAGUCGAGGACGAAGCUCAGGCAGCGCAUCAGCGAGCUGGAGGAGGAGCUCAAGAAGACCAAAGAGCAGGUGAAGCAACAAAACACCGAACAGGAGGAGAAUGAUGUGCCGCUGGCACAGCGCAAGCGUUUCACUCGCGUGGAAAUGGCCAUGGUCCUCAUGGAGCGCAACCAGUACAAGGAGCGUCUGAUGGAGCUGCAGGAGGCGGUGCGUCUCACAGAGAUACUGCGCGCCUCGCGCACCGUCGACAAUUUGGACAAGAAAUCGAAGCAAAGCAUCUGGAAGUACUUUAGUAAUCUAUUUACCCCCUCCAAUCGCCCGACGGAACGCAUUGCCGACGGGCUGGGAGGGGGGCCGAUGUUUCGUCACACCGGGGGAGGAAGCCCAGCCCACAGCCACGGAUCCCCAAGCCGUGGAAGUGGGGACAAUCGCCUUGCCUUAGCCGGCUCCCAGCCGCCCAUGCAUCCCGCGAGCGCAGGGCUUGCCAAUGCUUUAGUGAUGCCCAAGGACUACUCUGAGGACGGGGGAUCGGAGCGCAUCAGUGCGAGGAGGCGGGAACAGUACCGCCAGCUGCGCGCCCAUGUCCAGAAGGAGGACGGACGGCUGCACGCGUAUGGCUGGAGUUUGCCCAUUAACAAGACAAACCAGGAGGCCAAUCCCAGCCGGCACUCGGGAGGAGUGCCGGUGCCCGUCUACUGUAAUCCCCUAGCCGAGGCCUCGCCCCACAUGAAGGUAUUCUGCGCGGCGGGCGUUAAUCUACACGGGGGCUUCACCAAAGACGGCCAAUCGUUGAUACCCGCUGACUCGCCCUACGCCCCCAAGUCCACGCUUGAAAUCACAGAGAUCACGAGCCCCACUGCGGGGCAGAGCGUCGAGGCGCUGGACAGACAGAUAGCCCGCGCUAGCUUGGAGACCCUGGAGCCUGAGACGCAGCUCAGCUCGUUCGUGUGGAUCUGCACGAGCACCCACGCGGCCAGCACGGUCAGCGUGGUGGAUGCCAACCAGUCGGCCACCGUUCUGGAUGCCUUCCCAAUCUGUUCCUCCCACUUGCUCUGCAUCGCCUCCGUACAGGGAGCCAUGGAGAGCGACUACGCGCUACUGGAGCAGUCGGAGGUGGUCAAGGCGGGCGAGAUGCUGCAGCGGCCCGGCGAGGGCACAGAGCUGCUCGGCAAAGUGGAGUUUGUGCGCGUGAAGCCCAAGUCCGAGGACGAGCAGAACAGUAACAGCAAACUCCAGCAGCAGCAGCAGGACGAAGAGGAAGCCAAGGAGGCCACUGAGAAAUCAAAUGAGCCACUUCCGCCCGGAAAUCCUGAGGAGCCGCUCGUCAAUGUGGAGGCCAUCAAGAUACGCCAGGCCCUGCCCGGCGCCCCACAGCGCCUCUCCAGCGGUAACAGCAGCGACGGGAAUCCGACGAACAACAACAACAGCAACGUUCUCUUUGGCACCAAGUCGCUCAACCCCAUUCUGGGGACGAAGGAACGCGAGGAUCCGCCCAUGAGUUCGGUGGGACCGACCAUGUGGAUGGGGGCACAAGAUGGCUGGCUGUACGUCCACAGCGGGGUGGGGCGGUGGCACGAGUGCCUACACCGCGUUCUCUUGCCGGAUGCCGUCCUGGCGAUUGUGCAUGUGGAGGCGAGGGUUGUUGUGGCGCUCGCCAAUGCCCAGUUGGCCGUGUUCCGCCGCCAGACAGACGGCCAAUGGGAUCUGAAUAGUUAUCACCUGGUGACGCUCGGUGAUCGCAAUCAUUCGAUACGUUGCCUCUGUGUGGCCAGCGAGCGCAUUUGGGCGGCGCAUCGCAACAAGAUCUUCAUUGUGGACCCCAUAUCGCUCAAUAUUGUGCACUCGCUGGACGCGCAUCCGCGCAAGGAGAGCCAGGUGAGGCAGAUGGCGGCCACAGGUGCCGGUGUCUGGGUAUCCAUCCGAUUGGACUCCACGCUCCGUCUGUAUAACACGCAUACGUUUGAGCACAAGCAGGACGUGGACAUUGAGCCGUACGUGUCCAAAAUGCUCGGCACUGGCAAACUGGGCUUCAGCUUUGUCCGCAUCACCGCUCUGAUGGUGUCCUGCAACCGCCUGUGGAUCGGGACCAGCAACGGCGUGAUCAUCUCAGUGCCAUUGGCCGAGGUGCAGCAGAAGACAUCAUCCGAUCCUCACGGCCAGAUGCCGUUGUGCUGCAUGGCCAAUGCUCAACUCUCCUUCCACGGCCACCGCGAUGCUGUCAAGUUCUUUGUGUCCGUGCCGAUGCUGCAGCAGCCGAAUCUAAACGGCGGACUGACCUUUGUGAACAAGCGACCCGAUAUGCUGGUCAUGUGCGGAGGCGAGGGCUACAUCGAUUUUCGCAUAAGACAUGAUAAGUUCGAUGCUAGCGAUAAUGCAGCGCAUUUGAUAGUUUGGAAAGUCGAUACUACCUUCAACUUGUAGUCCGCCCACCCAGGGAUAAGGGGAUGAGCUUAUCCUCCCCCUCCGUGUACUCCGGUAUCAAGUGGAAUGCAGCAUUUGUCUCAGCCGUGACCUGAACCUAAAUGAUAAUGACAUGGAGAACAGUAUUCAACUGGAACCAAACCAAACGAUCGAGAAUCGAGGCGACAAGAGCUACUUGAUUGUGUGGCAUGUUAGUCAACGUUGAGGCCGAUCGAUCAGAUUCUUCGGCUGAAACGAGAAGUGCAAAUGAUACAUUAUAAUAUAUAUUUAUAGCAGUUACGAGUACUAUCUAAAUACGCAUAUUGUAUAAUCUACUUUAUUGUGCAGGCUAGCGAAAGGAAUACCCUUAAAUCUUAGUAUUUAUCUAACAAUACCCCAAAAUCCACACGAUGACAAAACACCAACUAACUCUUAAUUUACUCUUAAUUUAAGUUUAACAAAAACAUGUUUCGAGCUUUCGAGGGGCUCUCACAAUUGUUUCUAAUUGCUUCAUUCAAAC